UAUCGCGAUGCUGUGCGUGUUCGGCAAGCCGCUGUUCGCGCUGGCGGUGACGGCGCUGCUGCUGGUGCAGUUCGCGCUGA
rnacentral:tRNA from 1 species